UACGUAGGGCGCAAGCGUUGUCCGGAAUUAUUGGGCGUAAAGAGCUCGUAGGCGGCCUGUCGCGUCUGCUGUGAAAUCCCGGGGCUUAACCCCGGGCGUGCAGUGGAUACGGGCUGGCUGGAGUGCGGCAGAGGGGGGAUGGAAUUCCGCGUGUAGCAGUGAAAUGCGUAGAUAUGCGGAGGAACACCGAUGGCGAAGGCAAUCCCCUGGGCCUGCACUGACGCUCAUGCACGAAAGCGUGGGGAGCAAACAGG
rnacentral:rRNA from 1 species